GGCCCCAUCGUCUAGCGGUCUAGGACACCGGCCUCUCACGCCGGCAGCACGGGUUCGAUUCCCGUUGGGGUCA
rnacentral:tRNA from 1 species